CGGAAGUCGGCGCGGACGCGGCGGUCGCCAACCCGGUCAGGUUCGGAAGAAAGCAGCCGUAACGAUUUUGCGGCGGGUCGCGUCCGAUUUCCUUUA
rnacentral:SRP_RNA from 1 species